AAGUGAACAGAAUUUCAUGUGUUGGAAGCAGGAAAAAUGGGCAAGCCUAAGAAUCUGAGCGACUUUGACGAGGGUUAAAUUGUGCUGGCUAGACGACUGUGUCAGAGCAUCUCCAAAACGGUAGGUCUUGAGGGGUGUUCCCAGUAUGCAGUGGUUAGUACCUACCAAAAGUGGUCCAAGGAAGGACAACCGGUGAACCGGCGACAGGGUCAAAGGUCGCUCACUGAUGCUUGUGGGGAGCGAAGGCUAGCCCGUCUGGUCCAAUCCCACAGAAGAGCCACUGCAGCGCUAUUGUAGCACAAAUUGCUGAAAAACGUAAUGCUGGCCAUGAUAGAAAGGUGUCAGGACACACAGUGCAUCACAGCUUGACCGGUCAGAUUGCUGACCCCUGUCCACCACCAAAAGUACCUACAAUGGGCACGUGAGUGUCAGAACUGGACCAUGGAGCGAUGGAAGAAGGUGGCCUGGUCUGAUGACUCACGUUUUCUUUUAGAUCAUGUGUUUUUUACGGUUUGGUCUGUACAUUCAGUUUAAUUGAAAUUUUCAGUGGCUAGAUAAAGUAUGUGAACCCUUUGGAAUUAGCUGCAUUUAUGUUUAAAUUUGUCUUAAAAUCUGGUUUGAUCUUCAUCUCAGUUACAAUAAUAAACAAACACAAUCUGUUUUAAUUAAUAACACAAACAUUAUUGUAUUUUUCUUGGACAUAUUGAAUACAUUAAUCAAACAUUCACAGUGUAGGUUAGAAAAAGUACGUGAACCCCUAGGCUAAUGACGUCAACAAAAGCUAAUUAGAGUCAGGAGUUGGCAAACCUGGCAUCCAAUUAAUGAAACAAGAUUGGAGGUGUGGGUUAGAGCUACUUUUGACUAAUAAAAGCACUCAGACUUUCUGAGUUUGCUAUUCACAAGAAGCAUCUGCUGACGUGGACCAUGACUUGGAAGACCUACGAUCAGGAACUGUUGCUUUGCAUAAAGCUGGAAAGGGUUACAAAGUUAUCUGGAAGAGUUUAGAUAUUCAUCUGUCCACAGUUAGACAAACUGUCUAUAAAUGGAGAUGAUUUAGUACUAUAGGUACUCUCACUAGAAGUGGCUGUUAGAUAUUCAUCUGUCCACAGUUAGACAAACUGUCUAUAAAUGGAGAUGGUUUAGUACUAUAGGUACUCUCACUAGAAGUGGCUGUUAGAUAUUCAUCUGUCCACAGUGAGACAAACUGUCUAUAAAUGGAGAUGAUUUAGUACUAUAUGUACUCUCACUAGAAGUGGCCGUUAGAUAUUCAUCUGUCCACAGUUAGACAAACUGUCUAUAAAUGGAGAUGAUUUAGUACUAUAUGUACUCUCACUAGAAGUGGCCGUUAGAUAUUCAUCUGUCCACAGUUAGACAAACUGUCUAUAAAUGGAGAUGAUUUAGUACUAUAGAUACUCUCACUAGAAGUGGCCGUUAGAUAUUCAUCUGUCCACAGUUAGACAAACUGUCUAUAAAUGGAGAUGAUUUAGUACUAUAGGUACUCUCACUAGAAGUGGCUGUUAGAUAUUCAUCUGUCCACAGUUAGACAAACUGUCUAUAAAUGGAGAUGAUUUAGUACUAUAGGUACUCUCACUAGAAGUGGCCGUUAGAUAUUCAUCUGUCCACAGUUAGACAAACUGUGUAUAAAUGGAGAUGAUUUAGUACUAUAGGUACUCUCUCUAGAAGUGGUCGUUAGAUCUUCAUCUGUCCACAGUUAGACAAACUGUCUAUAAAUGGAGAUGAUUUAGUACUAUAGGUACUCUCACUAGAAGUGGCUGUUAGAUAUUCAUCUGUCCACAGUUAGACAAACUGUCUAUAAAUGGAGAUGAUUUAGUACUAUAUGUACUCUCACUAGAAGUGGCCGUUAGAUAUUCAUCUGUCCACAGUUAGACAAACUGUCUAUAAAUGGAGAUGAUUUAGUACUAUAGGUACUCUCACUAGAAGUGGCCGUUAGAUAUUCAUCUGUCCACAGUUAGACAAACUGUGUAUAAAUGGAGAUGAUUUAGUACUAUAGGUACUCUCUCUAGAAGUGGUCGUUAGAUCUUCAUCUGUCCACAGUUAGACAAACUGUCUAUAAAUGGAGAUGAUUUAGUACUAUAGGUAC